rnacentral:rRNA from 1 species
UUGAACGCUGGCGGCAUGCUUUACACAUGCAAGUCGAACGGUAACAGGCCGCAAGGUGCUGACGAGUGGCGAACGGGUGAGUAAUGCAUCGGAACGUGCCCAGUCGUGGGGGAUAACUACUCGAAAGAGUAGCUAAUACCGCAUACGAUCUAUGAUGAAAGCGGGGGACCGUAAGGCCUCGCGCGAUUGGAGCGGCCGAUGUCAGAUUAGGUAGUUGGUGGGGUAAAGGCUCACCAAGCCAACGAUCUGUAGCUGGUCUGAGAGGACGACCAGCCACACUGGGACUGAGACACGGCCCAGACUCCUACGGGAGGCAGCAGUGGGGAAUUUUGGACAAUGGGCGCAAGCCUGAUCCAGCAAUGCCGCGUGCAGGAAGAAGGCCUUCGGGUUGUAAACUGCUUUUGUACGGAACGAAACGGCUCUGGUUAAUACCCGGGGCUAAUGACGGUACCGUAAGAAUAAGCACCGGCUAACUACGUG